GAACAUCCGCAAUAAAAUGCAGGUAAGAACUUGGUGAAAAAGGAUGUGGAAUUUUGCAAACAACCUGAUCCCUGGUGCAACAGUAAUACAAGAUGUUAGAAAUUAAUCCAACCGCAAACAAUCACUUAGUCUAAACAGUAUAAGUAUUAAAACCUGUUAGAAACAAUUCCCGCAGCUUUCCACAUUCCCUGAUUAGCAGCACCCAUGUCACUGACAAUGGCGUUUACAAGAUAUCCACGAUUUCCAAGUUCCAUUACGAGUUGCUUUGUCAAACACCACAACUCUUUUCCAACAAUUGAGUUUCCAGUGUAAAAAUAUGCUAGAUAUAAAAUAGGAUUUGAAAAGCACACAGUCUUAAUUUAUUAUUAAAUACAUUUUAUUGUGAAAAAGGUCCGGGUAAUUGACCAAACGUAUUUAUUAGCUCCUUUUUAAGUUUUUGUAUAACUUUUUUCGAAACUUUAUGUUAUAAUAUCGCAUCACUCUAAUUGUUUGGUAUGCGGGAUUCAGCUUGCCCUAAAAUUGUUUCAUGGUCUAGUUGCAAAUUCUUGUUUAUGUAUGUAAAGAAUCCCAUUUGAUCAUCUUCCGCAUGACGCACAACUUACUAUUAAAUUGACAUGUGUACAGGCUGCAGCAAGCAAA